rnacentral:lncRNA from 1 species
CUACAUUUCCCAAGACCCCCUUCAGUCAACAUGUUUGAAUACUCACAUCAGAGCAGCAUUUUCUUGUUCAAUGAGUUGUUGCUUCUCCUCCAUGGAUUUGACACAAGCUUCAAAAACAACAACAACAAACAACUUUAAGAAGUUACCGGAGCAGUUUCCCAACCACCAUUAUGCUACAGGUUCAUUGUUCGAUGUCGAAGCUUGCUUGUCUCAAUAGUUGCAAUUUCAAGUUUCUCGCGUGCUAUUUUUCUAGAUAAUUCCUAAAUAUGAAUGCCACAGUGAAAUGAACACAUAGCCUACAUGGGUC